GGGGGAUCAGAGAAUAGGGAGAGGAAGGGAACUGGAGUCUUCCCUGUUUUGGAGUAACAAAAAGCGUGAGAAGCUGACCAAGCUGUGAGAAACCUAGGGGCUUAAAGCGUGAGAAGCUGACCAAGCUAUGAGAAACCUAGGUAUGACCGUCAUGGAUCUUUUAUUUCUUUUCGUCGGCAUGUAGUCUCUUUCUCUUUUCUUGGUAUUUGAUGUGAAUUGCUUGAUUAGGGGCUUAGUUCCAUGGUUUCUGUUUGGUUUAUUGUUGUUAUCUCCUUCAUUUUCUUUGGGGUGACUCGAGAGCAACACGACUCUGUUUUAGCUUCAUUAUCAUCAUGUGGGAGUUUUGUUUUUGCUUUCAUUUCCAUGGGAUGCACUUAGUUCAUAUCUACUUCUAAGCUAGGGAACCAAAAACACAAAAUGUGGCCUUCACCGGUUCAUCUUGGUUUCAUCCUCCAUACUCUGUUUUUCUUGGUUGCUGUCCUCUGUUCUCUGUUGGUACUUUGGAUGCGUGGCAUUAUAUGCAUCAUUCGUUGAUAAUGUUGGAGACUGGUUCUUAGAUGUUGACGGAACUUGGUACCUGAGCUUGUGAAAAGGGGAGAAGACUUGGUGGCUUCAUGGGAAUACCAACUCAUGAGAAUGGUGGCUCCAUACAGAGAAGUUUUAAACGAGCAAUGAUGAAUUUAAAGCAGCUGAGUUAGAAGCUUUUAUUAGACCCAUUAAGGAUGCGAAUAUUGAUCUUAAAAAAGGAAUGGCAGCCUUGUCAAAGGAGUUCUCGUCGGAUAAGGAUUGGAUUCUUAGAAUUAGUGCGGACUUUGAAAAUUUCUAGGGAGGCAGAUAGAGGUGCAGAUGGGGUGUGUGGUCGGUUUCUUUCAAAUUUUCAAUCAGAACCAGAUUCUCGUCGGAAAAGAUAGCAUGUGACGACACGCCUGACUUCCCGCGUGCAUGGCGUGCCGACUCCAUCAUCUCCGUGGUCGGUCUCCUCACCACCGUCGGCAGCGGCGACAGUAGCUGUGAGGACGAUCCUCUCGCUGUGGAGGGUUGCGGCGUCCAGUCCCAGUCCGCACCAGUCACCUCCCAAGGCGCAUGCAGUGGCCAUCAUUGCCCCAUUUCCUAACUCCCAGCACUAAGAGUUUUAUCUUUCUUUGUUUAUUUUAUUUUAGUCAUUCACCCUUUCUUUGUUUCACGUUCUCAAAUGACCCCUAUAAAAUCCCUUAAAAUUUCAAAGUCCUAGAUUUACUAAUC